rnacentral:rRNA from 1 species
GAUGAACGCUGGCGGCGUGCUUAACACAUGCAAGUCGAACGAAGCACUUUAUUUGAUUUCCUUCGGGACUGAUUAUUUUGUGACUGAGUGGCGGACGGGUGAGUAACGCGUGGGUAACCUGCCUUGUACAGGGGGAUAACUGUUGGAAACGGCUGCUAAUACCGCAUAAGCGCACGGCAUCGCAUGAUGCAGUGUGAACAACUCCGGUGGUAUAAGAUGGACCCGCGUUGGAUUAGCUAGUUGGUGAGGUACCGGCCCACCAAGGCGACGAUCCAUAGCCGACCGGAGAGGGUAACCGGCCACAAUGGGAAUGGGACACGGCCGAAACUCCUACGGGAGGCAGCAGUGGGGAAUAUUGCACAAUGGGCGAAAGACUGAUGCAGCGACGCCGCGUGAGCGAAGAAGUAUUUCGGUAUGUAAAGCUCUAUCAGCAGGGAAGAGAAUGACGGUACCUGACUAAGAAGCACCGGCUAAAUACGUG